GGAGAGGUGGCAGAGCGGCUGAAUGCGGCGGUCUCGAAAACCGUUUACCUCUUAUAGAGGUACGAGGGUUCAAAUCCCUCCCUCUCCG
rnacentral:tRNA from 1 species